rnacentral:rRNA from 1 species
UACGUAGGGAGCAAGCGUUGUCCGGAAUCAUUGGGCGUAAAGCGCGCGUAGGUGGCUUCGUAAGUCCGUUGUGAAAGUCAAAGGCUCAACCUUUGAAAGCCGAUGGAUACUGCGGGGCUAGAGUACGGAAGAGGCGAGUGGAAUUCCUGGUGUAGCGGUGAAAUGCGCAGAUAUCAGGAGGAACACCGAUGGCGAAGGCAGGUCUCUGGGCCGAUACUGACGCUGAGGAGCGAAAGCGUGGGGAGCGAACAGG